rnacentral:rRNA from 1 species
GAUGAACGCUGGCGGCGUGCCUAAUACAUGCAAGUCGAGCGAACAGACGAGGAGCUUGCUCCUCUCACGUUAGCGGCGGACGGGUGAGUCACACGUGUAUACCCUACCUAUAAGACUGGUAUCUCUUCGGGAAACCGGAUCUAACACCGGAUAAUAUAUUGAACCGCAUGGUUCAAUAGUAAAUGACGGCUUUGCUGUCACUUAUAGAUGGUUCCGGGCCGCAUUAGCUAGUUGGUAAGGUAACGGCUUACCAAGGCUACGAUGCGUAGCCGACCUGGCAGGGGGAUCGGCCACACUGGAACUGAGACACGGUCCGGAGUCCGAGGGAAGGCAGAAGUAGGGAAGCUUGCGCAAUGGGCGAAAGCCUGACGAAGCAACGCGGGGGGAGUGAUGAAGGUCUUCGGAUGGUAAAACUCUGUUAUUAGGGAAGAACGAAUGUGUAUGUAACUAUGCGCGUCUUAACGGAACGUAAAAAGAAAGCCCCGGCUAACUAGGG